AGCGAACGCUGGCGGCGGGCCUAACACAUGCAAGUCGAGCGGCCGUAGCAAUACGGCAGCGGCAGACGGGAGAGUAACACGUGGGAACGCGCCCUUCGGUUCGGAAUAACUCAGGGAAACUUGAGCUAAUACCGGAUACGCCCUUACGGGGAAAGAUUUAUUGCCGAAGGAACGGCCCGCGUCCGAUUAGCUAGUUGGUGAGGUAAUGGCUCACCAAGGCGACGAUCGGUAGCUGGUCUGAGAGGAUGACCAGCCUCACUGGGACUGAGACACGGCCCAGACUCCUACGGGAGGCAGCAGUGGGGAAUAUUGGACAAUGGGCGCAAGCCUGAUCCAGCCAUGCCGCGUGGAUGAUGAAGGCCCUAGGGUUGUAAAGUCCUUUUAACGGGGAAG
rnacentral:rRNA from 1 species